GUAUUAUUGAGGGUAGAGAAGUCCAGGAAGUUCAAUCCACCAGUUUCGUAGGUAUUCUUUACAACAGACCUUUUCACAUAGUGAGUCUUGUUCCUCCACAAGAAGUCGAAAAGCAUCUUAUUGAUAUUCUUACAAAUUUUCUCAUUCACAGACAAAGAGAUUGCUGCGUACGCAAGAUGUGACAGUCCUUCCACUUUGGUUAGUAGCGUACGUCCUUUUAAAGAAAGAUCUCAACCUAGCCACUGGUUAAGCUUAGCUUGGAUUUUGUUAAUAAUUGGUUCAAAGUUCGCUGUACAUCGCAUGGCUUCAUUUUUCAUACCGGUAAUCCCUAGAUAGGUAACUUUUUCUUUAAUUGGGAUGUUGCAGAUCGAUGUCUCAUUCCGGUCAUGGAUAGGGAACAGUUAGCAUUUGUUGAGAUUUAGGUGGAGACCAAAGGCCGCUGAGAACUGUUCGCCCGUUUUAAUCGCAGCAGAGACUUGGCUGGAGUUCUUUAGGAAUAAGGUAGUGUCAUCCGCAAGCUGACUAAUCAGGAUUUCUCUGCCCGCUAUAGAUAUCCCUUGGAUGGCACUUGUUCUGAUAUGACAGGUGAGUAGUUGCGUACACAAUAGAAAGAGAAAUGGAGAGGCCGGACAGCCUUGGCGCACUCCUCGAUGUAGAGAGAAUCUUGGAGAGCGCUCCCUUAGCUUUGAUAAGAUAUACUUCAUUUAGUUUAGCCUGUUCUGAGCUUAGUAGUAGUCUGUCUUCAUCUGACAUGUUAUCAGGGUUUUUUUAGGGAUAAUUCGAUUAUUUUAGAGACUAUCGUGUCUUCUUCUAAUUGACGCGCUUUAGCUAAAUUACUGCCAUAUUUCCUAAGGUAUUGCCAUAUUGACAAGUCUCAAAUUUAAAUAGUUCCCAGUUGUUACGAAAAGAAUUGUCAACUUUUUCUUUGUUCCAAAACUUUUUAAGAAGGCAUUCAAUAUCAGAUUGAACCUUUUUAUGUUGUAAUAGAGAGUUGUUAAGCUUCCAGUAGACACUUGUAAAUAUUUUAGAAGCUUCCAGUAGACACUUUUAAAUAUUUUAGGAGAGUUUGAGUGAAAAGGGAUGGAGAUGAGGACCGCAUUAUGGUCAGUUGAAGGUGUUGUAAUGAUAUCAACUGAAACUGGAUUGAUGUUAAUAUUUUGAGAUAUGAGCCAAAAGUCGAUACGUGACCGCCUGGUGGCAUCUUUAUUACUCCAAGUGAACUAUUUUUUGUUUGGAUUAUUGCUCCUCCAUAUAUCAAUCAAAUUAAAUGUCUGCAUAAAUAUCUUCAGGGUCUUAUUUAGAGAAGAUUGAUUACGAUUAGGCCAACAGUCCAUGUUAUGGUGCAAUAUCGUAUUGAAGUCACCGCCUGUAACUAGACCGGAAUUUGGGAAUUUAGCGAGUGAAUGUUGAAUAUGUUUUU